GACGAACGCUGGCGGCGUGCUUAACACAUGCAAGUGGAGCGACGAACCAGGCUUCGGCCUGGGGCAGAGCCGCGAACGGGUGAGUAACACGUGGGUAACCUGCCUCGAUGACCGGGACAACCCGAGGAAACCCGGGCUAAUACCGGAUGUGCUCCUUCACAUCAGUGAAGACAGGAAAGGAGCUUCGGCCUCCGCAUCGAGAUGGGCCCGCGGCCCAUUAGCUUGUUGGUGAGGAACGGCUCACCAAGGCUGCGAUGGGUAGCUGGUCUGAGAGGACGAUCAGCCACACUGGGACUGAGACACGGCCCAGACUCCUACGGAGGCAGCAGUGGGGAAUCUUGCGCAAUGCGCGAAAGCGUGACGCAGCAACGCCGCGUGGGGGAAGACGGGCUUUCGGGUUGUAAACCCC
rnacentral:rRNA from 1 species